UUGGAAAUAAUUUUUCACUUUAUAUUAACGCUUUAAAUGUUAGUUAAUAUGUUUUGUUGUUUUAUUUUUUAGUUCUUUAUGAAUAAAAUUAAUCAAUAAAUUGAUAUUAGUCAAAACCCCGUUUAUAAAAUAACGCUGGUCAGGGGAAGUAAUUGUUGCGGGUCUAUGAUUUUGUUUGUUGUCUAUGAUUAUCGUUCGUACAAAUGGUGGCGCUGUUUGGAAAAUUUGAAAACAACACGAUUGGCAAUUUAUUUGCAUUUCGAAGAUCCUGGUCCUGGCUGAAAUUUAGAGUAUUGCAGCUGUAGUCUGUAUACCAUACAUUCAACAUGAAAAGGACUGUCAGGAUGCUGCAUAAAAUGGUCUUAGCUAGAGCCUAGAAUGUUAAUUUCUUGGGAAAUUGCUGCAAGGAACUGACGGGGAUCAGUUUUUCUUACCAAUCAUAGAAGCAGUAAGAGACAGCCAAAGAAGUACUCAAACACCUAACAUACCCAGAAAGAUCUAGAAGAAAAGAUUGGAACAGAUUGUAGCUUAAUUGUUAAAACUAUUAAAGUGAAUUUAAGCUGCACUUGAACUGUAUUUUUUAAAUAAAAUAUCUGAAGUAUUUAAUAUUGUCUUGAUAUUUUGUUAAACUUUGUAACUUUGCUUUAUAUCCAAAA